rnacentral:rRNA from 1 species
UUAUUUUUUAAUAAUUAAUUUUUAUAUAAUUUUUAUAUAAUUAAUAUUUUAGUUAUUUAUAGGAAUAAAUAUUAUAAUAUAAUAAUAUUUUAAUAAUGAUAAAAUAAGUAUUUUAUAUAUAUAAAAUAUAGUAACUCGGCAAAUAUUAUUUUCGCCUGUUUAACAAAAACAUGGUUUUUUGUUUAUAUAAAAGAUCUAACCUGCCCUAUGAUUUAUUUAAAUGGCUGCAGUAUUUUGACUGUACAAAGGUAGCAUAAUCAUUUGUCUUUUAAUUGAAGGCUUGUAUGAAUGGUUGGAUGAAAAAUAUACUUUCUUUAUUUUAUAUAAAAAAUUUAAUUUUCUAGUCAAAAAGCUAGGAUUUUUUUAUAGGACGAGAAGACCCUAUAGAACUUUAUUUUCUUUUUUUAUAAACUUUAUAGAUAAAUAUAAGUUUAUAUAUUUUUGUUAAUUUUGUUGGGGUGAUUGAAAAAAUUUUUUAACUUUUUCUAUUUUUUACAUUUAUAUAUGUUUUUUUGAUCCUUUAUUAUGGAAUAAAAGAUUAAGUUACCUUAGGGAUAACAGCGUUAUUUUUUUGGAGAGUUCUUAUCGAUAAAAAAGUUUGCGACCUCGAUGUUGG